UACGGAGGGAGCUAGCGUUGUUCGGAAUUACUGGGCGUAAAGCGCACGUAGGCGGCUUUUUAAGUCAGGGGUGAAAUCCCGGGGCUCAACCCCGGAACUGCCUUUGAAACUGGAGAGCUAGAAUCUUGGAGAGGCGAGUGGAAUUCCGAGUGUAGAGGUGAAAUUCGUAGAUAUUCGGAAGAACACCAGUGGCGAAGGCGACUCACUGGACACGUAUUGACGCUGAGGUGCGAAAGCGUGGGGAGCAAACAGGG
rnacentral:rRNA from 1 species